UACGAAGGGGGCUAGCGUUGUUCGGAUUUACUGGGCGUAAAGCGCACGUAGGCGGAUUCUUAAGUCAGGGGUGAAAUCCCGAGGCUCAACCUCGGAACUGCCUUUGAUACUGGGGAUCUCGAGUUCGGGAGAGGUGAGUGGAAUUGCGAGUGUAGAGGUGAAAUUCGUAGAUAUUCGCAAGAACACCAGUGGCGAAGGCGGCUCUCUGGCCCGAUACUGACGCUGAGGUGCGAAAGCGUGGGGAGCAAACAGG
rnacentral:rRNA from 1 species